rnacentral:rRNA from 1 species
GACGAACGCUGGCGGCGUGCUUAACACAUGCAAGUCGAACGGUCAAGCGCCUUCCUUUUUCGUGGGUGUUGAUGAGUGGCGAACUGGUGAGUAACACGUGAGUAUCCUUCCCCCUUCUUCUUGAUAACCGCAUGAAAGUGUUGCUAAUACGUGAUAUUCUGGAUCUGUCGCUUGUUGGGUCUGGGAUAGUUUUUGUUUCGUUGGUGGAUGGGCUCGCGUCGUAUCAGCUUGUUGGUGGGGUGAUGGACUACCAAGGCGAUGAGGGGUAGCCGGCCUGAGAGGGUGGACGGUAACAGAGGGAGUGAGAGACGGAGAAGACUACGAGAGGAGGCAGCAGUGGAGAAUAUGGAACGAUGGGAACAAGGAUGAAGCAGCGACGCCGGGUGAAGGAAGGGUGCCUGCGGGUUGUGAACCGCUUUCAGGAGAGAAGAAAGGCUGAAUUAAUUGUGGAUAGGUUGACGGUAGCUAGAUAAGAAGCGACGGCUAACUACGUG